rnacentral:rRNA from 1 species
AUUGAACGCUGGCGGCAGGCCUAACACAUGCAAGUCGAACGGUAACAGGAAGAAGCUUGCUUCUUUGCUGACGAGUGGCGGACGGGUGAGUAAUGUCUGGGAAACUGCCUGAUGGAGGGGGAUAACUACUGGAAACGGUAGCUAAUACCGCAUAACGUCGCAAGACCAAAGAGGGGGACCUUCGGGCCUCUUGCCAUCGGAUGUGCCCAGAUGGGAUUAGCUAGUAGGGGGGGUAACGGCUCACCUAGGCGACGAUCCCUAGCUGGUCUGAGAGGAUGACCAGCCACACUGGAACUGAGACACGGUCCAGACUCCUACGGGAGGCAGCAGUGGGGAAUAUUGCACAAUGGGCGCAAGCCUGAUGCAGCCAUGCCGCGUGUAUGAAGAAGGCCUUCGGGUUGUAAAGUACUUUCAGCGGGGAGGAAGGGAGUAAAGUUAAUACCUUUACUCAUUGACGUUACCCGCAGAAGAAGCACCGGCUAACUCCGUG